rnacentral:rRNA from 1 species
UGGGGAAUAUUGGACAAUGGGGGAAACCCUGAUCCAGCAAUGCCGCGUGAGUGAGGAAGGCCUUAGGGUUGUAAAGCUCUUUCGCCCGCGAAGAUAAUGACGGUAGCGGGAGAAGAAGCCCCGGCUAACUCCGUGCCAGCAGCCGCGGUAAUACGGAGGGGGCUAGCGUUGUUCGGAAUUACUGGGCGUAAAGCGUACGUAGGCGGAUGCGCAAGUUGGGGGUGAAAUCCCGGGGCUCAACCUCGGAAUUGCCCUCAAAACUGCACGUCUUGAGACCGAGAGAGGUAAGGGGAAUUCCUAGUGUAGAGGUGAAACUCGUAGAUAUUAGGAAGAACACCAGUGGCGAAGGCGCCUUACUGGCUCGGUACUGACGCUGAGGUACGAAAGCGUGGGGAGCAAACA